UACGUAGGUGGCAAGCGUUGUCCGGAUUUACUGGGCGUAAAGGGCGCGUAGGCGGUUUGCAUAGUCAGACGUGAAAUUCCUGGGCUUAACCUGGGGGAUGCGUUUGAUACAUGCAGGCUUGAGUUCGGAAGAGGGUCGUGGAAUUCCCAGUGUAGAGGUGAAAUUCGUAGAUAUCGGGAGGAACACCAGUGGCGAAGGCGGCGAUCUGGGUCGAUACUGACGCUGAGGUGCGAAAGCGUGGGGAGCAAACAGG
rnacentral:rRNA from 1 species